CCGCGCGGCCGCAAGGUGGCGCUCUAACACCGGCACUGCCUUCCGCUCAGCCGCUGCUGUCCGGCCCCGGUCCGAUCCCGGCACCGCAGCUCCGGGAGCCUCUGAGCGGGAUAGGGGGGGGAGCACGUUGGGGAGAGCCCGGAGCAAGGUGAGGUGCAGCCCUAAAGCCUGAAUUCUGUAGAGUGCGAUCGAAUCUUAUCUCUAAAUAUCUUUUGUCUUCAUGGGGUAACGGUAGUUUAUCCAGGUGAAUUGCGAUUGCUUUCCCCGCCCUGCGUUAAAAUCGUAUCUCCCCGAGGGCGUUUCAUCUGGUUGGUGUUAGGGGGUUGAGGAUCUCUGCCCUUUGGGGUUUCCAGCACAGCCUGGUGUCACCUCAGACCCAGCUGUCCCUCCUUUCUGUUGGGAGCAACUCUCUUCCACUCAGCACAACGCGUUUAAUGGAGGUAAAACUUGUACAUUCAGUUGGAAGUGAUAUCAUUGAAGUCACCAUUAUGGCUUUUACUGGGCUGGAACUUGAAAUAACUCAUAAAUAACACUUGGAUUCAUCUUCAGGCUUAACAGUGGUAUGCCUUCAUGCUCAGGUCUGCAGCUGCAAUAAUAAUUUCCUAGGGAGCCCAG
rnacentral:lncRNA from 1 species